AAUAUGAUGGCGCUGUUUGAUGAACACUGUAAUCCAAAGCUAAAUGAGACUGUGGAGAGAUAUAAGUUUUUCGUCAGAAACCAGGGGCAAGAUGAGAACAUAGACAAAUAUGUCACAGACCUGAGAGUUUUGGCCAACACAUGCAACUUUGGGGACAUAAAAGACUCAUUAAUAAGAGACCGCAUUGUAUGUGGUACAAAUAGCUCUGCUAUGAGGGAAAGACUGUUAAGAGAGGAAAACUUAACCCUGGAAAAGUGUAUGCAAAUAUGCAGAGCAGCAGAACUGUCAAGAGAAAACAGCAAAACAAUACAAGGGAAGACAGUAGAAGAAAUACAUGCAUUAAAAGGGACUCCAAAGAGAGACAUGAAGGAUGAGAUCAACUGUCAUUUCUGUGGAAAUAUACAUGAGAAAAACAAGCACAAAUGCCCAGCUUUUGGCAAGAAAUGUAAAAAAUGUGGAAAAGAGAACCACUUUGCUUCCAAGUGCAAAACCAGGAUGGAAAAAUUUAAGAAAGUCAGACCAAUACACACUGUCUCGGAGUCGAGUGGGUCAUCAUGUGAAGACAUAAUGACCAUAACGGAUGUGUGGGAAAAUGAAGAAACAAUUAACCAAAUGAAGGAAACGCACAGCAAAAGUCAACAACUUUUUGCUGGGAUGAUGUUGAAUAAAAAGUUAAUUGACUUUCAAAUUGACUGUGGUGCAACAUGUAACGUCAUACCAAUGCACAUGAUAAAUCCAGACACAAAACUGGAAAAGACAGAGAAAGUACUAGUGAUGUACAACAAAACAAGAAUAAAACCACUGGGAAAGUGUAAAGUGAAGCUCAGAAACCCAAGAAAUGAAAAACUGUACAGGCUAGAGUUCCAAGUGGUAGACCAGGAUGAUAGGAUUCCCUUACUAGGCCGAAAAGCUAGUGAGGCAAUGAAGCUUAUAAAAGUACAGUAUGAGAACAUCCUGGCAAUAGACGACAUAGUGACUAAGCAGUGUCCAGACCAGACACAAAUAAGAGGAGAGGAUCUGGCAAACAUGGACAAAAUAAAAAGGGAGUUUAGAGAUGUUUUCACUGGUGUCGGCUGCUUAGAAGGAAAGUAUAAGAUAGAAAUAGACAAAAGUGUCCCACCUGUGAAACUACCAAAACGCAGGGUACCUGUCGCUAUGAUGACA
rnacentral:lncRNA from 1 species